CCUACGGGUGGCUGCAGUGGGGAAUAUUGGACAAUGGGCGAAAGCCUGAUCCAGCCAUGCCGCGUGUGUGAAGAAGGCCUUCGGGUUGUAAAGCACUUUCAGUGGGGAAGAAAGCCUUGGGGCUAAUACCCUCGAGGAAGGACAUCACCCACAGAAGAAGCACCGGCUAACUCCGUGCCAGCAGCCGCGGUAAUACGGAGGGUGCGAGCGUUAAUCGGAAUUACUGGGCGUAAAGCGCGCGUAGGCGGUCUGAUAAGCCGGUUGUGAAAGCCCCGGGCUCAACCUGGGAACGGCAUCCGGAACUGUCAGGCUAGAGUGCAGGAGAGGACGGUAGAAUUCCCGGUGUAGCGGUGAAAUGCGUAGAGAUCGGGAGGAAUACCAGUGGCGAAGGCGGCCUUCUGGACUGACACUGACGCUGAGGUGCGAAAGCGUGGGUAGCAAACAGGAUUAGAUACCCUGUAGUC
rnacentral:rRNA from 1 species